rnacentral:rRNA from 1 species
UACGGGGGGAGCAAGCGUUGUUCGGAAUACUGGCGGUAAGCGUGCGCAGGCGGUUAUGCAAGACAGAUGUGAAAUCCCCGGGCUCAACCCUGGGAACUGCAUUUGUGACUGCAUAGCUGGAGUGCGGCAGAGGGGGAUGGAAUUCCGCGUGUAGGCAGUGAAAUUCGUAGAUAUCGGGAGGAACACCAGUAGCGAAGGCGGCAUCCUGGACCGACAUUGACGCUGAUGAGCGAAAGCUAGGGGAGCAAACGGG